rnacentral:lncRNA from 1 species
UGUUAGAAAGGUUUUUCAAACACUAGACUCAACUUUGGCCAAGGAUCUGGAAAGGAGGCUACCUACAGGCAGUCGGCUCUGAUACCAACUUGUGACGCCCUCGAUUUAAUCGUACGCUAAACAUACACGCAAAUGCGUACGAUCAGACUCAAGGACUCACGGGAAAAUAUCACAACACCACUCUAGACACAAGUAAAACAAUACAAGCUUCAUAUUACAAGCC